rnacentral:rRNA from 1 species
CCUACGGGAGGCAGCAGUGGGGAAUAUUGCACAAUGGGGGAAACCCUGAUGCAGCGACGCCGCGUGAGUGAAGAAGUAUUUCGUUAUGUAAAGCUCUAUCCGCAGGGACGAAAAUGACGGUGGUUGAGUAAGAAUACGCGGCUAACAACGUCCCAGCAGCCGCGGCAAUACGUAGGGGGCAAGCGUGAUCCGGAUUUACUGGGUGUAAAGGGAGCGUAGACGGCAGUGCAAGGCUGGAGUGAAAGGCGGGGGCUCAACCCCCGGACUGCUCUGGAAACUGUGCGGCUGGAGUGCAGGAGAGGUAAGUGGAAUUCCGAGUGUAGCGGUGAAAUGCGUAGAUAUAAGGAGGAACACCAGUGGCGAAGGCGGCUUGCUGGACUGUAACUGACGCUGAGGCGCGAAAGCGUGGGGAGCAAACAGGAUUAGAUACCCUGGUAGUC